UACAGAGGGUGCAAGCGUUGUUCGGAAUUAUUGGGCGUAAAGCGCGUGUAGGCGGCAUGGCAAGUCGGGUGUGAAAGCCCUCAGCUCAACUGAGGAAGUGCGCCCGAAACUGCUUUGCUUGAGUGCUGGAGAGGGUCGCGGAAUUCCCCAAGUAGAGGUGAAAUUCGUAGAUAUGGGGAGGAACACCGGUGGCGAAGGCGGCGACCUGGACAGUAACUGACGCUGAGACGCGAAAGCGUGGGUAGCAAACGGG
rnacentral:rRNA from 1 species